rnacentral:tRNA from 1 species
CCGAAUAUAGCUCAGCGGUAGAGCGGGAGACUGUAGUGUACUGUUAUCUCUAGGUCCCUGGUUCAAAUCCGGGUGUUCGGA